ensembl:lncRNA
AUGUCAGUGUCUUAUUUACCUGAAUGACAUGCACAUCAUGGUAGGCAAUAGUUGAGAACACAGAAGUGCAAUCUGUGUGCAGAAGAAAGCAGGCCCAUAAGACCCAGAAACCCAUGUUCUUUUUUCUAAAUUCUACUGAGUCUUUAUCAGCACUGUCUAAAAGAACUUUCCAUGAUGAUGAAAAUGUCCUUCAUCAACAGUACUAGCAACAACAUGUGGCUCAUGAGCGUUUGAAAUCUGGAUGGUGCAGCUGAGAAGUAAAUAUUUGAUUUCUUCAAUUUUAAUGUCAAUAGCCUCGUAUGAUUAGUGACUCAUCUGUUGCACAGGGGAGGAUCCAUCAUACAGUUUGGUGUAAAAAUGCCAUCAUGGAAAGCUUCACCCAAAAUAAUCCUCAGGGGGAAAAGUGCACACACAAGAGCAUUGGUACAACUAGAAAUUAAUCAUAUAACUCAUUAAUCUUAAUGGAAAUGGUGACAGAUCCUUCUUAACGGUGUCUGAGUUAAGGAAAUACAAUUAAUCUGCAGAUUCAGGGACUCAGAUUUAAAGAGGUCUGCCUUCUCUAAAUGUUGGCAACCAGCAGAAGCCAGGCAUGGCAGCCCUAAGUCCACCAGCUAGUAGACUGAAUGAGGACAGUGAAGGCAAGUGGAGCCAUUUCAACAGUUAAUCUUUUCUUCUCGACAGACUUUAGAAACUCCCCUGUUUUGCUUCUAAUCAACUGUUCCUCUAAGUAUUGAGAAGACAUAGUCAAGUGGUUACUCCAUGGAGUCUGACCAUAGCAGUGAAUUUAGCGGGAAUAACACUGAUCUAGCCAUCACUCAGCACUGAGCAAAGUGGUCUUCCAAGAUGUCAGGCUAGAGUAGCAAGCCGUAUGCAGAGAAAAGGCAUGUCACCUGGUUAGCAGCAUUGGCAUCUGACACUUGACCAUCCAGUGCCCACCAAGAUGGGAAUCUCAGCCCACGGGAAUGUUUAAUAACUUUUAGAACAGGUGAAAGACCCCCAAUUAACAGACCAGUUGAGUAAGACUGUCUCUUCUUGCCAGCAAACAGGACCCACUCUGCACUUCUACUCCAAACCUCAUUAUUUGCCUUUUGAAUUGAAUGGACCUUUUUGAAUGCAGUAAACAAAUCAGCUACAAUUACAGUGAAGAUAAGCCAUAGCAGUAUUUUCUGCAAAACGAGGGCCUCAGUUAAAACCCUAAGCCUGCAGGGCAAUGGUGGAGAAGCAGAUUAGGAAAACAAGGAGUGAAGGGGCUGAGACAACCCAGGAGUGACCAAGAAGAUUGGAAGAAAUUCUGAAAAUUGGAUAUUAGGGCUUAUGCAGGGUGAAGCAACAAGAAACGAAUGAAUAACAGAUGGGAGAAGAAAUAAAAAGGGCUGUGCAAAACAAGAACAGGGUUUUCUUUCUCAAACAACAUUGGUCACAAAUCUGGACCAUGGUCUCUGCCCGGUGCCUUUGCAUGCGCUGAGCCAACUCUAAUGACAGGGCCUGUCUUGGUGAUAUCUGCCAAAGUCCGGCACACUUCAAAUACUAGUCAGUGUGAAGUCCUAGCGAUUUUCUAAGCCAGUGCCUCUCAAACUCUCAAGGAUAUACAUUACCUGUGCCUGCAUGCAUGCUAAGUCACUUUGGGCAUGUCCAACUCUUUGCGACUCUAUGGAUGGUAGCCCAUCAGGCUCCUCUGUCCAUGGGAUUCCCCAGGCAAGAAUACUGGAGUGGGUUGCUAUGCCCUCUUUCAGGGGAUCUUCUUGACCCAGAAAUGGAACCUGCCUUAGCAGGUGGAUUCUUUACUGCUGAGCCACCAGGGAAGCCCAUACUUUGAGUAACAAACCGUUAUUCUCUUGUCAGUCACAGGGGAGCUUGUUUGGUUGAGAAUCACGCCAGGAAAGUCAAGGACAUCCAUUUGAGCCCCAUCAGUGGGAUCACUGUGUUCUAUGGCUGCAAACGGAACCCGCAGCUCCAACUGGUUGUCCGGAGUCUUUGUCACACACAUACACGCACCCACAUACACGCCACCACACCUUCUGGACCAGUGGAGAUUCGGUGGUAAGGAAUACCUAUCUGAAGGUCAGCAGGUAAAACCUGGGCUGCUGGGGGGACCCAGCCCUGAGCCGCAUUGUCCCAUGGCUCUGGCUCUGUGCUCUCCCUGCUCCCACCUGCCCCUCGAGGUCUUCUUACCCUCAUUCCCUGGAGGCCGACUUCAGAAUUGUCUAUUAGAUGAAAUCACUCAGAAGCAGGAUUGCAAACUAGUCCCCUCUCUCCCGCUGACUGGAUGAUCUGAAGCGGCUGCCUGUGGAGCUAAUUUGAGGAAGAUGCUGAAACCAGGUCUUGGCUCUGCUGGAAGAACUGUCAUACUGGGAAAACUGCUCUAGGAUGAAGGCUGUUGCUGCUAAGUCGCUUCAGUUGUGUCCCACUCUGUGCGACCCCAUAGACAGCAGCCCACAGGCUCCCCCAUCCCUGGGAUUCUCCAGGCAAGAACACUGGAGUGGGUUGCCAUUUCCUUCUUCAAUACAUGAAAGUGAAAAGUGAAAGUGAAGUCACUCAGUCGUGUCCGACUCCUAGCGACCUCAUGGACUGCAGCCCACCAGGCCCCUCCGUCCAUGGGAUUUUCCAGGCAAGAGUACUGGAGUGGGUUGCCAUUGCCUUUUCCGCUAGGAUGAAGUCAGUGAUGCUUAAAGAGCAAUCCUGACCACCUGUGUGCAAAUUCCUAUGGAAGGGUAGGGUAAAGAACAGCGUUUUAAACAGAAUUAUGCCCCACCCCACCCCCAUCCAUGUGAUUCUCAUGCACACAGAAGUCUGAGACCCACUCACCUCUGGGUUUCUCUUGUCAGUGAUUCACGUGGUGGGAAGGGGUGGGGAAAUGUGCUUCACACACAGCUGUUCCCGGACAGCAAAUACUGGAAACUGAUUUAAUUAGAUUCAUCUGCUGUUGCCAUUGAGGUUGCAUACUUUGAUGGGUGUUUCUUGCUAAUGGAAUAAAAAAAAAAGUCCUCACUUAAGAGAUCCUAUUUUAUGGCUCUGGCUUUAACUAUGGCUUUAUUUUCAUUGGUUUCACACCAGGUAUUUUAACAAGAUGAUUUUCUGCCUCUGGUUGAAGAAAUAGAUUGUGUGUGUGUGUGUGUGUGUCUAUACAAUGUGUUUCAACCAAACCCAGCACAGUUUGAAUGUUGAUGUAUUUUCAAGGUAGGGCAUGCUGUCAUAAAAUCAAGCAUGCGAUAUGACCAGCAGCUUGGUGGUCGGGAGUUUCAUGGAUCACUCCAACUGCCUUUAGACAUGAAAAAGCAGAAAUGUCACAGAAACAGCACUGCCCCAGGUUUUGACUUGUUGAAGUGUUUUACCUGCACUGACUAGAUUUCCAUGAUGUAGAACAUAAAAGUGUUACUUAGCGGAAGGAAAAGAGAAAAAGAGAAGGAAACAAUGUCUUAAUUGCACUUAUCACAAUUUCCUGUCUCUCAG